rnacentral:lncRNA from 1 species
UACCAAACAUCCCCUUAAUGUUCCUAUGAGAACAAGCAAUGAAAAUCUGUACAAAAAUGGACGUAAAUUCUAACAAAUCUUUGGAAAGGAGUAGUAUUAACAGAACAAAAUAACCAUUACAUCCAGAAUCCAACAAAGAAUUACAACAAACUAAUGAAUUCCUAAGCAUCAUUUCCCAGCAACAAAUGUAUAAUUUUCCUAAUUAUAACAAAUAGUUGAAACAAAAGUUUCGCCAACCGAAAAAUCGGCAAUUCUGUAAUGCCAAACAAAGUCUUCUGAUUUUCUUUAGAACCAGAAGCAGCUUUGGACAUGAUAGCUUCAGCAGAUUUGUGAUCACCCUUAUUGUGGGGACAAGUUUAGAAUGCGGAAAUCGAGAGUAGACACCCACUAAGAGCCCUUCUCUUUGCUCCUGCAAAGCUGAACGCCAAGCUACACGAUCAACUUCAGUAACUGCACAUGCACAAUGGUGAGACUAGCCGCCGGAGCUGUUUUCGAAAAAUGGCUCUCCGACGGUCAAAUCAGGUGACCGGAAUAUUAGUAUCGAGUAUCUCAGAAAGAGAAAGAGAGAGAAGGAUGAGAGGAGAGAGAGAGAUAAAGCCCUGCCCCUCACAGUGACCUCUGCUUAUAUAGUUUAGCUCGGCGUGCCUUGACGUGCCAACGGUCGUGU